CCUACGGGCGGCAGCAGUGAGGAAUAUUGGUCAAUGGUCGGGAGACUGAACCAGCCAAGCCGCGUGAGGGAUGAAGGUACAGAGUAUCGUAAACCUCUUUUGUCAGGGAACAAAGGCGGGGACGUGUCCCCGGCUGAGUGUACCUGACGAAAAAGCAUCGGCUAACUCCGUGCCAGCAGCCGCGGUAAUACGGAGGAUGCGAGCGUUAUCCGGAUUUAUUGGGUUUAAGGGGUGCGCAGGCGGUCUGUUAAGUCAGCGGUCAAAGCCCGGGGCUCAACCCCGGUCCGCCGUUGAAACUGGCAGUCUCGAGUUGGAGAGAAGUAGGCGGAAUGCGCGGUGUAGCGGUGAAAUGCAUAGAUAUCGCGCAGAACUCCGAUUGCGAAGGCAGCAUGCCGGCUCCACACUGACGCUGAGGCACGAAAGCGUGGGUAUCGAACAGGAUUAGAUACCCGAGUAGUC
rnacentral:rRNA from 1 species